rnacentral:rRNA from 1 species
UACGUAGGGGGCGAGCGUUGUCCGGAGUUACUGGGCGUAAAGGGCACGCAGGCGGUGCGGCGCGUUUCGCGUGACAGGGGAGGGCUUAACUCUCCGAGGAUGCGAAAGACGGCGGCACUUGAGGGCCAGAGAGGGACACGGAAUUCCGGGUGGAGUGGUGAAAUGCGUAGAGAUCCGGAGGAACACCGAAGGCGAAGGCAGUGUCCUGGCUGGUGACUGACGCUGAGGUGCGAAAGCUAGGGGAGCGAACGGG